UCUCUUUUCAGACUUUUAAUAUCUGAUUUCAGUGACUUAAUCACUUUUUCCAAUUCUUUAACUACUUUCCUAGUAUAUUCAUAUCCUUCUUGAAACAGUAUUUGCUUCCCUGUUUUAGACCAUCCUUCUGUACUAGCAACUCUCCGUGCCGAUGGGGAGCGACUGGCUGACCUCAUUUGUCCGGCCAUCCCAUUGAGGAGCAGAUGGAUGAGAGGAUCCUGGCUGUUUUUGUUCAUUUCUCCGUUUAAGAAUUUUUUCCAAUUCUUCUCGAUUUGCAUUAGACAUUAAUAAAUUUAUUGUUACCUGACCUUCCUGAGACAUAUCUGUGAUACCUGAUAUUAUUCCUUCUAUUACUGAUGUUACAGGAUGUUUAAAUUGCCCAGUUCCCAUUAAAGUCAUAUGUAUCUGACUUUCA